rnacentral:rRNA from 1 species
UACCAGCUCCUCGAAUGGUCGGGACGAUUAUUGGGCCUAAAGCAUCCGUAGCUGGCUUCAUAGGUCUCCUGUUAAAUUCAACGGCUCAACCGUUGAGCUGCAGGGGAUACCGUGGGGCUAGGAGGCGGGAGAGGCGGACGGUAUUCCACGGGUAGGGGUAAAAUCUAUUGAUUUGUGGAGGACCACCAGUGGCGAAGGCGAUCCGCCAGAACGCGCUCGACGGUGAGGGAUGAAAGCUGGGGGAGCGAACCGG